rnacentral:rRNA from 1 species
GUGUCAGCAGCCGCGGUAAUACGUAGGGGGCGAGCGUUGUCCGGAUUCACUGGGCGUAAAGCGCGCGCAGACGGCUUUCUGCGUCUGGGGUGAAAACCCGGGGCUCAACCCCGGGAGUGCCUUGGAUACGGGAGAGCUUGAGGGUCGGAGAGGCAAGGGGAAUUCCACGUGUAGCGGUGAAAUGCGUAGAGAUGUGGAAGAACACCUGUGGCGAAAGCGCCUUGCUGGCCGAUCCCUGACGUUGAGGCGCGAAAGCGUGGGGAGCAAACAGGAUUAGAUACCCUGGUAGUCCACGCCGUAAACGAUGAGUGCUAGGUGUUCGUGGGCUCAUACCCAUGAGUGCCGAAGCUAACGCAUGAAGCACUCCGCCUGGGGAGUACGGUCGCAAGACUGAA